UACGUAGGGUCCGAGCGUUGUCCGGAAUUACUGGGCGUAAAGAGCUCGUAGGUGGUUUGUCGCGUUGUUCGUGAAAACUCACAGCUCAACUGUGGGCGUGCGGGCGAUACGGGGCAGACUAGAGUACUGCAGGGGAGACUGGAAUUCCUGGUGUAGCGGUGGGAAUGCGCAGAUAUCAGGAGGAACACCGGUGGCGAAGGCGGGUCUCUGGGCAGUAACUGACGCUGAGGAGCGAAAGCGUGGGGAGCGAACAGG
rnacentral:rRNA from 1 species